UUAUUCAACCAUGAAAAAGAUAGGCCAAGCAUUUUUCUAGCAUUUGUCAAACAAAUUCAGGGCCGUCCGGGUUACUUUCAGCAUCCGGAUAAACUACUACCCAUCUCACAUCCUCCCCAGCAAGCCCCUCUUUCCUCUCCCUCCCUAUAAAUAUACAUAUAUAUUGCCCUCAACAGUCUUCAUAUCUUUGCCUACCCUUCUUGGGAGAAGAUAGAUAUAUAGAAUAUUAGGCACUAUCUAGGUAUCACAAAAAUGUCCAAGGUUAGCACCCUUUGCAUCGUAUCCCUUCUACUUUUUCUUACCCUAUCUUACGCGGUUGCCCGGCCGGUGGCUACAUUUCAGGACGUAACUCCGAUGGAAACUCAUCAUGGUCAUCGUGUGAAUGAUCAUGUUGAGAAGGUAGAUAAAGAGGAGAGUUGCGAAGGACUUGGAGAAGAUGAGUGCUUGAUGAGAAGAACACUGGAGGCUCAUCUCGACUAUAUAUACACGCAGGGGCAAAAGCAGCCCUGACGAUAUAGUAUAUAUCUUUGUUCUUACUCCCUCAUUUUUCUCAUGUCUUAUGCAUGAGCAUUUGUGCGUAUAUAUAUUGUAUAUGAUCCUUCUACACAUCAUAUAUAGUCUCGGUUGUUUGUGAUCAAUGCGAAUGUAUCUUGGGUACCCGGUAAACAUUUGUCUUGAUUACUUGCCGGAUUGGGAUGCAUGGUGCAAAUUCAAAACUUGCUCAUUAAUUUGACUGUAUAGGAUAUCAAAGCCACCUAUCCGUUUUACAGGA